rnacentral:rRNA from 1 species
CCCUUAGAUGUUCUGGGCCGCACGCGCGCUACACUGAUGCAUUCAACGAGCCUAGCCUUGACCGAGAGGUCCGGGUAAUCUUUGAAACUGCAUCGUGAUGGGGCUAGAUUAUUGCAAUUAUUAAUCUUCAACGAGGAAUGCCUAGUAAGCGCGAUUCAUCAAAUCGCGUUGAUUACGUCCCUGCCCUUUGUACACACCGCCCGUCGCUCCUACCGAUUGAGUGUGUUGGUGAGGAGUUUGGAUUGGCCUCGGAAGGUGGUUCGCCACCGUCCGUAGCUGAGAAGUUCUCCAAACCGCCCCACUUAGAGGAAGGAGAAGUCGUAACA